ACUGUUCAGGUAGCACAGAGAGUCCGUCUGGUACUUGGCCAACUUCUGAAGCAGUUGAGCAAGAAAUUAUGGUUCCAUCACUCCGUGUGGUUGAGCUGAUGGCUUUCAACUGAGUUUGAGAAACAUCUGACGCCCUAUCUGCAACAACCCUGAUUAUUGACAGCAAGCCUAGCAAGGGUCAGCGCAAUUCUUGCAGAAAUUUGUUCGGGCGAAAUAUUAGUUGUUACUGAUUCUAAGCUUGGAAAUGUUAUAAAAGAAAAGCUGGUUAGUGGUGUUUGUCAAUUUAUUGCUUUCUUUACAUGGAUAAGCCAUCCUUAAAUAUUCAACGCGCUAUUGCAUAAAAUUGGCUAUCUCUACAAUAGUGUUGUGAUGGAGCUGAUGCGAGGGCUGAGAAAUCAGCUCAUUGAGCUUAUAAGUGGGUUGGGUACAUAAGACCUGGGUCCAAUGAGCUUGGGAUUGUCGCACAACUUGUUUUUGGCUUAGUGGGUUCAGUCCCGAGAAGGUGAGUCUUGUAUUGGUGCUACCGGCCAUCUUAUUUAUCAUGUUGUUAUGUGCUCCAUUUUUUGCUUUUAUUGUAUCAACAUUUGUCCUUGGCAUGAAAUCAUCUGGAAACAUCUCUCAACUAAAAACAAUGUCAGGGAUCAAUCUUUUUACCGAAGUCUCUAUUCUUGUCUGAACAUUAUGCAAGUGGUUUUCUUUGAAAUCAUAAGCAUGGAGUGCAUCUAUUUAAAGAUAAAGCUUGGACAACCAAUCAUUUAUUAUCCGAGAAUUUAAUUUGGUUUUAUUAAUUAAUUUAAACCUUUCUAUAGGAAGAGAGUGGCUCUUCACUCCCAUCGGACUGACAAAAAGCUAACGUUCCGGAGAAAGAAAUGUAGUUUGGUUAUGUGGUUUUGCAGACCUGUAUCUAUUUGUGUAAUACAUUUGCCUGUAUAUGUGCAGCUUAUGUCCAUAAUUCUUCAAGUCUGCAUAUGACUGCAUCAUUCUUCAGCCUUCUAGACUCCUUCCACUUCUGCCCCUCGGAUACAAGGUUAGUUUGAGACCGUGAGCAAGCAUACCCAUCCAUCUUUUUCUCUUUCUUCAACCAUAUAGGUACAACAAUAAUUCAUCUGUCUGCUACUAAGACAUAUCUGCUCUUUUCAUUGUUCUGAGUUGGGUAAUCAUUUCUGCUCAGAUUAACAAGUAUUCAGUACACCAAUUUUUUAAUCUUUAUAAGAUAAGAAGCAAAGUCAACAAACCAUGGAGCAUGUAGUAUCGUAGCUAUUUGUGCCAGAGAUAUUUUAGCUACAGUUUGAUAAUAAUAUUCAAUAGACAUAUUUUCAUUGACAUAAUAUUCAGUAGGCCUAUUUUAGCUACAGUUUGAUCACCAUCUAAGCCGUAGCUAUUUGUGCCAGAGAUGACCACUCCUUUAUUUUUUGUUCCUGUGUGCCAAAACAGUGCUUGCAUGUUUUCCACACAGAAAUUCACUAAAUACAUAAAUCUGGACGAGUGCAUUUGAUAUCUAUGUGAUUACAUGGUGAAAAUAGGCCUUUUGAUGGCCUGCUCGGAUUCUCCUAGGUAAAAAUGGUAAAGUUACUUUUACUGAGCAUGCACAUGCGAGUUGAGUAUCCUGUAUUUUUUGGAAUUUGAGUUUAUUCAUGAGUUCCUUUAUGGUGUGAUGAUAUCUGCAUGCAAACUAGAAUUCUGCUCCAAACUUGCAUAUGAAAUGAUGAAAUGCAAUGAACAAUACUUUUUGAGCUGUUGUAAAGUUUAAUCUCUACUACACCAUAUGUUGGUAACGAGGGCGUCCACCGGCAUCACCAC